rnacentral:rRNA from 1 species
CGGGGGAGUCUUCGGACCUCGCGCUAUUGGAUGAGCCUGCGUAAGAUUAGCUAGUUGGUGGGGUAAAAGGACUCACCAAGGCGACGAUCUUUAGUCUGGUCUGAGAGGAUGAUCAGCCACACUGGAACUGAGACACGGUCCAG